rnacentral:rRNA from 1 species
UACGUAGGGUGCAGGCGUUAAUCGGAAUUACUGGGCGUAAAGCGUGCGCAGGCGGUUUGCUAAGACAGGUGUGAAAUCCCCGGGCUUAACCUGGGAACUGCAUUUGUGACUGCAUAGCUAGAGUACGGCAGAGGGGGAUGGAAUUCCGCGUGUAGCAGUGAAAUGCGUAGAUAUGCGGAGGAACACCGAUGGCGAAGGCAAUCCCCUGGGCCUGCACUGACGCUCAUGCACGAAAGCGUGGGGAGCAAACAGG